CUAUAUACCCUCCUUGUGCUCAUAGUGACGAAAAGAUUCACUUACUUCCUAAAAAGAUGUAACAUCUGAUCAGAAUCUACUACUUAAAGCAAAAUCACUUACCUUCCUAAAGCAGUAUCACUUCCUGCAUCCUAGAAAUGUCACCACAGGUCAGGUUUGAACUGGAGAGCAGAAGGGCCAGAGUACAGGAGAUUCAAAACAGUAAUGAGUUCACCGUCUUUUCAUCCUCGUGCCCUGGUAUACAGACUGGAUGGGGACCUAAAAUACCUUUCCACUUUGGAGCCAGAGAAACUAAAAGGAGAAUCUAGCUGUGGGGGUGGAAGAUGCUCAGCUUUCCCACCUUCAUGUGCGGGGUGAACUCUGGAAUUGUCAACACUGCAAGCUGGGAAUUGCUAGGCUUGCUGACUGCCCAUGAAAAACAAUGGAAGGCCAUCUUUUCUUGGGCCUUAUAAAAGACACGAAAUCCUGCCUGCUACUUUCCACUAAUAUUAAUUAUUCUUAAAUGCCACCUGUAAUUUUUACUGUUACAAAUGUUCCAGAGGUGAUGCUAUUAUACCUGAAUUCUAGCAAAGUCUAGCCAAACAAUUGUAUUAAAGUUGCAUAGUAACACAAUGAAUAAAGAUAUAUUCAUACCAAUACGUAUAAUUACAAAAGAAGUUGCAGACAAGCCUGAAUGUCAUUUGGAAUGCAUAGCAACUUCAGAGACUAACGUCUUGGAGUGAACCCUGGCACUUUACGUGAUGCUAAUGGAAAACCAUGUAGGUGAUUCCACAUCCUGUUAUAUAUUGAGGUCAGUAAUCAGGGACAGCAUCGAAAUCAAGUAAGUGGUUUUUAAAUUAUUGUGUAGGAAGAUAUUAUUUAGAUUUACUAUGCUUAGAUUUUCUGAUCAAUUAACAGGUCAUGACCAAGCAGAGCUUACAUUAUUCCAAGUGCCGCAAUGAACGAUUUCCCUCAUUAAUAAAAUGCACCCAUCCUAAGUUCAUUCAAGCAGCUGUUGCAUUUAUCAUACUUAUAUUUACAAAUGACGAUAAUGAUCACAUAAUGUUGUUAUUAUCACUUUUUGGAAAGGAUCCAGGAUUUGUUUUCUUGGAACUCCUGUGGGCCCUUCCAUUUCAAAUGUAAAAUACAUAAAAUAUUUAGUGUGUUUCAAUUGAGGAGUGGAAGUACAUUUCACCAUUAUUUAGAUGUAAUAAAUAUACAAUAAGCCAGACAUAGAAGCUCAGUCCUUUCAAGUCCCAUUUAUCACAAUAGACUAUCAUAGGAAAAUUAAGAUUCAAAGUUGGGGGAAACUGACUUGCUAUUACACUUUCUAAUAGCUGGGGUGAAUAUUUUCAAACACUUUAGAUAGAUUCAAACACAAAUGAAUUUAUGUUACAUCGUAAUUCUGGAACCUAAGUAUGGUUUACUGCUCACCUGCACUUCCUCCCCACUCAACAGCCACUUUUGUUUACAUCUUGUGGACUAAGCCUGAGUCAGAUGAUUCCACAUCUUGAGAAUUUCAACUCCAUCAUAGUCCAUUUCACUGGAAACUAGAAAUGUAUCCCAACACAAUAGGCCUCAUCAUCAUCACUCACCACAUCACUGACAUCUCUACAGCACAAAACAUUUCCUCUUUAAACUAAAACAAAUGCUGAUGAUAAUGGGGCAGUCAGAAUUCAAAACUUCUUUCUAUGUCUUAAAUAACUACAUCUUGCACAGCCUUAAAUUACAUUGUGAUAUGUUUUUACACAUACAGUGUAAAAAAAUAGCUUUAUCAUAGAAAUGUAUCAAUUCAAGAAGAGGGGAAAGAAAGGUUAAAGUGUUUAUUUGGAUGAAGCAGAGGUUGGUGACGAAAGAAUCACACAAUCCCUACUGGAAUUAACAUGAUAUAAAUUCCUCCCCGGGUGGGGCCGUCUCUCUUCCUUGCACUUUUUUCUCCCCUUAGGCCCCUCAACCACCAGCAGAGAGUUCUUUCAUACUCUUCCAUAUGUUCAGGCAGCUGUUCAAGACAGAUUAUUUUGGAUUUAUUGAUUUCUUUAUAAAUUAAUCACUCUGCAACAAGAAUAUAGCAAAUUAAAUUAUCCUAUCCAUAUAGGCUUCUGUGAAAGAAAAAAAUUACAUACACAGACACACAAAAGCAUUCCUCCCUCUCCCUAGAGCCUCCUUCCCAUAGCAUAUGAAUUAUUUAUGAUUCUGUAUCAGUCAAGACACUUCAAUAAUGAAAAUGCCCAAGCAAUGGUAUUUACAAAAGUUUUUUAUGGUCAUUGUUUUCACUAAAAUGGUUUUGCUAAGGUGGUUUUUGAUCCUUGUAUAUGUAGUGCACUAUAAAAAUCUCUAUUUUAAGACUUACUAACAUACGACACUAAAUAUAUAUGUAGCUUUAACUCAACAAGACAGUAUUUUUGGGAGAUGGUCAGAGCAUUAUAGCUUUUCCAAAAAACAACUCAUUAAAGCUGAUUUUUGGAACCCAAGCUACAGACGAAAUUUGUUUACUCAUCACUUAUUCAAGACAGGAACAUUGUCUUAAGACUAGUAAUUAAGCAGUUACUUCUUCAGUUUGUGCACUGAAUAUUUUAUUAUUCAAAUUUAUUAUCAGUCUUAUUGUUUUAGUUGCAAUAAUAAAGGAUCCAAAUCAAAUAAGCUGAUGCCAGCAUAGAGGAUGCAGAUGAACUUGGGAAGCAAUACAGGAUGUUACAUCCCUUGUAUGAGAGAGAUGGGGUAAAAAGUGGUGGGUUCCUGUUGUCAUUGUGGUUCCUCUAUGGUCUCUAACAUAUCUUUAAAAGCUACUCCCUAAGAAAAGUAUAUCAGCUGUCUUGUGAUCAUUUGAGGUACAAGGAGUGAGAAAAAAAAAUACAUCCAGAAGAAAAAAAUUGGGGUUUGCUUCAUGUUGUUUCAGGGCACAACCCAAAAUGUGCAAAGAUGAAAAAUAGUGACAUUAAAAUAAUGGCAUCAUAUGUGAUUUGAGCCUCAACUCUUACUUUGACAUUCAAAAUGGGCAGAUGCACACUUUUUACUGAUUUUAUUCAAUUCUUAUUAAAGUUACUUUGAGUGCUAAUCUAUUACCAAUCCUAUGUUCCUGUUUAUACUGAAUAUGUUAUAUCACAAGACCCUGUUGAGCUAUAGAAAUCCAAAAUGGUAUAGUAAGGUUGCACAUACACAGGAAAGAAAGCUGUGGAAAGAACUUGCAAAACAGGAUGUCAAGACCAUUUGAAGAGUUAUUUUGCUGGCUAUCUAUACCUACAUAUUGUUCAUUGAUCCUCAAGGAAUAGUGAAUGCUCUUGGCAGGAAAUUUAAUAUUCUACAUGAUGCCGAUGAAAUACCUAUGAAUUCUUAGACAUAGCCCCUCCUUCUCCAUGCACUGACCACCCCCCCCCCCGCCUCUGCAAGCAUAAAGGAGACCACAAAGGCAUAUAGAGUGUGUUCAUACAUACACAGAAACAGGGGACUUCAGGCAGGCUGGUUGGUUCAUUUGUUGGUUGGAUGAAUUUUAAGUAAAAUAUUUUCCCUCCUAUAUAGAAACUUGUCAGUAAAGUCUCCAGAUAGGAAAUGUUAAUCAUCACAUGGAAGAAAAAGCUACCAGCUUAAAUAUCCUUUCUGUAUGGAGCAGGUCACCUAACUUCUUAGGGCCUUAGGUGCUUUGAUUAAAAUGAGGAACUGAACUCUAUAGUCUGUAAACUUCCCUCCAGCUCUGCAGUUCUAAAUCUAGAUCUAUUACCUCCUUAGCACAAGACCUAAAAGGUCUGAAUUCUCUUGUAACUGAUUUCUCAUUUUACACCCAGACCAGAGCGUGUGACUGUGAGUGUUAUAAAGAGCCACUUGGGUCCUAGAAGUUACAACUAAGCUCUGCUUUAGAGAUAAGCAAAGGGGCUCAAAAAGGACUUCCUUUAAUUAUCUGAGGCUAUGAUAAUUUCCAAGAAUCUACAUUCAUCAGAGCACAUAUUGGAAAACAGGGCUUCCUACUUUCCAGAUGGCACAGAGGGUGAUUGGGGAAUAGUUCUAGAGAAUAAUGCAAGUUAUGCUCAAAUGGGGCCCUUUCAAAGGAGGGGGGACAAAGUAAUAUUUUUCCUCAAUUAUAGCUCUCUGUGCCAAUUCCUGUAUUUUACAUACCACAAGGAUGCAAAUGAUCCUUUAGGGAGGAAUGUUAUCAAGCAUAUUGGAAAGAAAGGAUCACAAGGCUGGGGUAAAGACUAGCUAUUUUAAUAAUACAAGGGGCCAAUUGCUUAUUCUUUGGAGAGUGACUAUAGCAAGCAAUUAAAUUCCUAAAGCCUCAAUAAAAUGAAUGUUGAUUACACCUAAGAAUCUGUAAUAAAACAGAAACAACUUCUUUUUUCCCAGCAUAUAAUUUCAAGCUUGUGGCUUAGGUAUUAUAUAUGUUUAUUUUCUAUUUUUAUAAAAUAAGACUAGUUUUCAGUUAUUAGCAAGAAAAAUUAAAAUCCUGGUUUUAAGAGAAUCAUCUUCAAAGAUGGUAAAUUUCUUCUGAAACAGUUGUAGUUUUGUUUUCUAUCAUCCAAGUCUUAAUGUUCUCAAAACAUGGGCAGGACUUUUACUUUACCUAAUGUUCCAAGUCAGAAUUUCUACACUUGGGCCCUAAAGCAGGCACAUAGGAAACAUUAAUUUCAUUACAGGGAUCUAAGCAUUCUGCAGUUUCCAUGGCUCAAAAAUGUAAGAUAGAAUACUUGCUCUUUCAUACCACUCCUUCCAAAAAUGUCUUUUGCGUGACAUUCCAAAUUAGGCCUUGGGAAUCUAACUGGGUACUUUUGAAAAUGAAAAUACGCUUUAUGAGACCAGAGAUUGUAGAUAAAGAACAAUUACCGCAAUCCUAAGAAAUCCUAAAAAGCCCGGGGUAGGAGUUCCUGUCGUGGUGCAAUGGUUAACGAAUCCGACUAGGAACCAUGAGGUUGCGGGUUCGGUCCCUGCCCUUGCUCAGUGGGUUGAGGAUCUGGCGUUGCUGUGAGCUGUGGUGUAGGUCGCAGAUGCGGCUCGGAUCCUGCGUUGCUGUGGCUCUGGCGUAGGCCGGUGGCUAGGGCUCCAGUUAGACCCCUAGCCUGGGAACCUCCACA
rnacentral:lncRNA from 1 species